rnacentral:rRNA from 1 species
UUUUAGGUCUAAUCUGCCCUAUGAGGAAUUAAAUGGCCGCGGUACUCUGACCGUGCAAAGGUAGCAUAAUAAUUAGUUUUUUAAUUGGAAGCUGGAAUGAACGAUUGGACGAGAAAAUAACUGUCUCAAUUUAAUUUUUUUAGAAUUUUAUUUUUAAGUAAGAAAGCUUAAAUUUUGUUAAAAGACGAGAAGACCCUAUAGAGUUUUAUAUUUAGUUAAUUUUUAAUUUUUAAGUAUUAUUUUAUUGGUAUUUAAUUAAAUAUUUUGUUGGGGCGAUAGAAAAAUAUUAUUAACUUUUUUUGGCUUAAUUCAUUAAUAUAUGUUUUUAUGAUCCAUUGUUUAUGAUUAUAAGAAUAAGUUACCUUAGGGAUAACAGCGUAAUUUUUUUUUAGAGUUCUUAUCGAAAAAAAAGAUUGCGACCUCGAUGUUGGAUUAAAAUAAAUGUUUGGUGUAGAAGCUAGAUAAUUAGGUCUGUUCGACCUUUAAAAUUUUACA